AGUGAUUGUAGUGUGUGUGUUACACUGUCCUCAUAUUGUUUUAAGCUGUGAAGGACAUGAGUGUGUUUCAGUUGCCUUCCUCAUGUGGUUGGAUCAACAACUCUAGUGUGUGUUACACUGUCCUCAUAUUGUUGGUAGCAGAACUGUACAGUGUUAAGUUUCUUUAGAAUCUGGUAUAAGGAAGUCGGAUCCUUCUGUAAUAAUGUUCACUGAUACAAAUAUGAUCUGUAGUUAAUUAUCUAGUCGGGAUUUAUACUAGAGAAUGUUUCUGACGUUAUAUUGUUGUCUUUUGUUGCAGACACCAAGUGCUGAGGUCCUGUCUCAGCCUCAUACUUACCCACUUCAUUCUUCCAACAGACACCAAGUGCUGAGGUCCUGUCUCAGCCUCAUACAGACCAAUCGACACCAAGUGCUGAGGUCCUGUCUCAGCCUCAUACAGACCAAUUGACACCAAGUGCUGAGGUCCUGUCUCAGCCUCAUACAGACCAAUCGACACCAAGUGCUGAGGUCCUGUCUCAGCCUCAUACAGACCAAUCGACACCAAGUGCUGAGGUCCUGUCUCAGCCUCAUACAGACCAAUCGACACCAAGUGCUGAGGUCCUGUCUCAGCCUCAUACAGACCAAUUGCUGGGAAGGUGAGAAGCAAGUGGACAAAUGAUGAAGUAAAGGUUGCUGCAAAGUACCAGGUAAAAGGAAUGUGACUGCUGCUUCCAAGCAGAGCCGGCAGCUCGUAAAGGCAGAGACUGGGUUGCCAUAAAGUACUACAUCCACAACAGGAUCAUUGCAUUAAAAGAAAGAUGCAAGGAAAAAAAGAAACAACCAAGAGAGAUACUUUGUUGCUUCCACAGUUAUGUCAAUAUUGUAGUUUUCUGUAUUGCAUUGUUCUUACUCAUAAAUCUGUGGUUUAUGC
ensembl:lncRNA